rnacentral:rRNA from 1 species
AUUGAACGCUGGCGGCAGGCCUAACACAUGCAAGUCGAACGAGUGGCGGACGGGUGAGUAAUGUCUGGGAAACUGCCCGAUGGCGGGGGAUAACUACUGGAAACGGUAGCUAAUACCGCAUACCAUCGGAUGUGCCCAGAUGGGAUUAGCUAGUAGGUGGGGUAACGGCUCACCUAGGCGACGAUCCCUAGCUGGUCUGAGAGGAUGACCAGCAACACUGGAACUGGGAAACGGUCCGAACUCUUAGGGGAGGCAGCGGUGGGGAAUAUUGCACAAUGGGGGCAAGCCUGAUGCAGCCAUGCCGCGUGUAUGAAGAAGGCCUUCGGGUUGUAAAGUACUUUCAGCGAGGAGGCGUUACUCGCAGAAGAAGCACCGGCUAACUACGUGCCAGCAGCCGCGGUAAUUC